CCUACGGGUGGCAGCAGUGAGGAAUAUUGGUCAAUGGGCGCGAGCCUGAACCAGCCAAGUCGCGUGAGGGAAGACGGCCCUACGGGUUGUAAACCUCUUUUGCCGGGGAGCAACGGCCGCCACGUGUGGCGCCACUGAGAGUACCCGGAGACAAAGCAUCGGCAAACUCCGUGCCAGCAGCCGCGGUAAUACGGGGGAUGCGUGCGUUAUCCGGAUUUAUUGGGUUAAAAGGGUGCGUAGGCGGAGCGUUAAGUCAGUGGUAAAAUUGAGGGGCUCAACCCCUUCCCGCCAUUGAAACUGGCGCUCUUGAGUGGAAGAGAGGUAUGCGGAAUGCGUGGUGUAGCGGUGAAAUGCAUAGAUAUCACGCAGAACCCCGAUUGCGAAGGCAGCAUGCCGGCUUCCUACUGACGCUGAGGCGCGAAAGCGUGGGGAUCGAACAGGAUUAGAUACCCGAGUAGUC
rnacentral:rRNA from 1 species